rnacentral:rRNA from 1 species
AACGGGUGAGUAACACGUAUCUAAUCUACCUUUUAGUGGGGGAUAACCUUUGGAAACGAAGGAUAAUACCGCAUAAGAUCUUCAUUAUGACAUCAGAAGAAGAGGAAAGAUCCGUUUGGAUCGCUAAAAGAUGAGGAUGCGGCGUAUUAGUUAGUAGGCGGGGUAAAGGCCCACCUAGACGAUGAUACGUAGCCGAACUGAGAGGUUGAUCGGCCACAUUGGGACUGAGAUACGGCCCAGACUCCUACGGGAGGCAGCAGUAGGGAAUUUUUCACAAUGGACGAAAGUCUGAUGAAGCAAUGCCGCGUGAGUGAUGAAGGUCUUCGGAUUGUAAAGCUCUGUUGUAAGGGAAGAAUAAGCCAGGAAGGAAAUGUCUUGGUGAUGACGGUACCUUA